rnacentral:lncRNA from 1 species
UCCUGGAUAUGGGGGUGACACCGUGCUUUGCCGUCCACCUGCUGAGUCCUGCGCGGACUCUCUGAAGAUGUUCCAUAAAAACGUUUCCAGGGAAAAGCCUUAUUUUUGGUAAUAUCAUCUCUGCCUACACUGCCAGAGUUCACUGGAUAAUUGCUGAAGUCUAUGAAAAGAAACACCAGGAGCAAAAGUGUGUUAGGUUUGAACACCUGGGACGUUUGGGUUGGAAAUCAGGGGAAACGUAACCUGAGAACGUGAGGGAAGGUGCGGUUUAGGACAAGGCUGCGAGACUGCCUGGAAGACCCUAGGGGAGCCACGAGGCUGGGGCCCACGGGGCACCCGGGAAGCCUGGCCGCCCCCGACUGUCUCAGCCUUGGGUGUUAUCGCAUCACAGGCUCUUUUCUGGUUUCCAUGGAUCAUGGAAGCUAAUAAUUGGGGUUAGGAACGCUUCGCAAGUUCUGUAAUCCCACCACUCAGGGAACAGGAGGAUAAAUCCCAUCUCCAGCCCCAGGACCACCCCCACACCCCCAGGACCCAUGGACAGGACAGGAAGUGGAAUCUGACGUUUGGGAACCAACGGAUACAGAGGACCAACUGCAUGCCCAGAAGUGGGGCUGCCGGCUCCUACAGAGGAUCUGGAUUUAACUUGCCAAGGGACGUCCAACUCAGGCUCGUGCCACAGGUGAACAGGGGGCCCCUGCCUCAGUAAAAUAGGCCAGAAACUAGGAGACAAACACGGUGUGAUGUCACUGACAGGAGGAACCUAAAAGACUGAACUCGCAGGAGUAGGAGCAGCAGAGCAGGUGCUGAGGGCUGGCAGGGAUGGGCAGGAGACGCUGGUUAGCAGGGCCGACGUCGUGCAGGUAAGUGCCGGGCUCUGUGCAGGCUGUGGUCACUAAAGUCGCUCAGAGUGCACUCAAUUCCAGAAACUUGCUAAGAGAGCAGAUCUUCAGUGUCUUUUUAAGUUUUUAUUCAUAUAAAAUGACAGGAUUCAUGUAUUUCAUAAAUGCAAUUCUAAGAGGAUAACCAUACUUGCCUCCUUUUUUCCCCAAACAUCCCUUCCUCCUUGCCUUUCUUUUCUCCCUUAAUGUUUGCAAUAAUGCAUUUUUGUACUCUGUAUACACAGAUGUAAUAGCAAAUAAUAAAAACACUA